AUACACAUCUGACUCUUCUAUACUCGUUAGGAUCCUAGGACUACACACACACACACACACACACACACACACACACACACACACACACACACACACACACACACACACACACACACACACAUACACAUAUACACACGUACACAGCAACAUAAUCGUCAAUGUCAACCUAAAAGCAUAGUCUGGAAUUAAUCAUACACACACAUACACACACACACUGUCUUUAUCAGCAGCUGUUUAAUGUUGAGUACAACUGUGUGUGUAUUUCUUCUGUGCCCUUGUGUACAAGUGUGUGUGUGUGUACAUUCUUUUCUGAUGCAGCUCACCUGGCUCCGGCAGACACACCGGCCUCCAACUAAUCCAUUCUGAAGACCCUCAUUCCACUGCUGUUCCGCUGGUCUACCUUUGGCUGGGAGUCCGAGGUUGGUAGAGCGCCUAGAGGACGGAGCAAGAGCUUCUUUCCUUAUUUGGGAAGCACGAUUUGACAAGGCAGCUCUGGGGCUUCGACGUGGUGAAACUGCCCAGGCAUCGACUCACCAAGACUGAG